rnacentral:lncRNA from 1 species
CCAAACCACUGGAAGGUGGUGAUUCUGGGCAUUAGUGGGACACGAUCUGCAAAGACUCCCAGGGAAAGGGAAAGUCAGUUCAACAUGCUGAGGGCAGAAUUUGCCUUGGGCUCUCUUCUGCAUCAAUUUGUGGAGACCUACCUCAUUUGGUGUCAGCUGAUCUACAGCCUCUAGUUUUUGUGAGGACAGGAUGAGUCCAGGGACCGAGCUGCUGCCUGUGGCCCUUCCAGUGCUGUGCGUCUGGAAUGGAAGCCCUCUGAUGAGCAUACGUUCUCUCCCUCACCCACCUUUUUUUUAAUUCCCCUUGCAUCUCUGCCUUCCUAGCUCCCUGGCCAUCCCUCAAACAAGAGAGAACAUGUGAUCAAUUACAAGUGAAUGGAAUUCUUUACUCUCCUGAAAAGCCAUCUAGUUUAUCAAGAGGUGAUCCAGCUCUCUUCCUUUUUAGGGGGAAGAGGACAGGAAAUGAAGAGUUUUCAGUGCUGAUUGCCAAAAAUUGGAGUGCUUAAGAUCAUUGUAGGCUCUGAAGCCAGUCUGCCAGGAUUCAAAUCCCUUCUUGGCCACUAAAUAACUGGAUGAUACUUCUUGACUCUUUUUUCAUCAUAUGCUGAAAAGCACGUCAUUGCACAAGGCCAUGAUGUCACUAGAAACCUACACAAAACUGUGUCUCUCUGGAAGAACUUCUUAAACUCACGAUCUCGGAUAUUGACAAAGUUAGGUGGGUGCCCCAUAGGUCUGAUGUAUUCAAAAUCUGAACGCCAGAAAUUUUUCUGGUAUGCUAGUCACAGAAAAAGCUUACUGAUGUUCCUUAGGCAAUGGCAUCGUUCCUGUAAUUUUUUUCCUUUACAUCAUCAUAGGAGCUCCACAGUGAGGCUGAGGGUUCCUUAGAACAUGGCUGGUCCCGGGGCUCCACAGAGGAGCAGCCGUCGACUCCGAGAGUUGAAAGUGUGUGUGCCGGGAGGUGCACAGUCACAGGCUUUCAAGAAACACCCUGUGCAUAUUUCUGCGGUUUGUGUUACUGUUCAUGGUUGUGUGGGGAGAAGCAGCAUCUGAGGGAAGAAAGGAAGCCAAGUCUUUUGAGUAAAGAGGUGUUUGCUUCUGCCAGUACCCUGGUGAUGGUGGGCUUUUAUUUGGUUUUGUCUUUUAAUAUAUUCAAGCUGCAUGAGGAAAAGAAACAAAAGGUACUCAGGACAAAAUGUAGUUUGAAUCACUCUUAUUCUACUUGGGCCAGUAAAGUGCAGAUGUGCAAUUAAUCACAAUUUUUUUUUUUUAAAGAUUUUAUUUUUUCCUUUUUCUCCCCAAAGCC